GUUGUUGAAGUGGCGUUUGUUGAAGUGGCGUUUGUUGACGUGGCGUUUGUUGACGUGGCGUUUGUUGAAGUGGCGUUUGUUGAAGUGGCGUUUGUUGAAGUGGCGUUUGUUGACGUGGCGUUUGUUGAAGUGGCGUUUGUUGAAGUGGCGUUUGUUGAAGUGGCGUUUGUUGACGUGGCGUUUGUUGAAGUGGCGUUUGUUGAAGUGGCGUUUGUUGACGUGGCGUUUGUUGAAGUGGCGUUUGUUGAAGUGGCGUUUGUUGACGUGGCGUUUGUAGACGUGGCGUUUGUUGAAGUGGCGUUUGUUGAAGUGGCGUUUGUUGACGUGGCGUUGUAGACGUGGCGUUUGUUGAAGUGGCGUUUGUUGACGUGGCGUUUGUAGACGUGGCGUUUGUUGAAGUGGCGUUUGUUGACGUGGCGUUUGUUGACGUGGCGUUUGUUGAAGUGGCGUUUGUUGACGUGGCGUUUGUAGACGUGGCGUUUGUUGAAAUGGCGUUUGUUGAAGUGGCGUUUGUUGACGUGGCGUUUGUAGACGUGCCGUUUGUUGACGUGGCGUUUGUUGACGUGGCGUUUGUUGAAGUGGCGUUUGUUGACGUGGCGUUUGUAGACGUGGCGUUUGUUGACGUGGCGUUUGUUGAAGUGGCGUUUGUAGACGUGGCGUUUGUUGAAGUGGCGUUUGUAGACGUGGCGUUUGUUGAAGUGGCGUUUGUUGAAGUGGCGUUUGUAGACGUGGCGUUUGUUGAAGUGGCGUUUGUAGACGUGGCGUUUGUUGACGUGGCGUUUGUUGACGUGGCGUUUGUAGACGUGGCGUUUGUUGAGUGGCGUUUGUUGACGUGGCGUUUGUUGACGUGGCGUUUGUUGACGUGGCGUUUGUAGACGUGGCGUUUGUUGAAGUGGCGUUUGUUGACGUGGCGUUUGUUGACGUGGCGUUUGUAGACGUGGCGUUUGUUGAAGUGGCGUUUGUUGAAGUGGCGUUUGUUGAAGUGGCGUUUGUAGACGUGGCGUUUGUUGAAGUGGCGUUGUAGACGUGGCGUUUGUUGACGUGGCGUUUGUAGACGUGGCGUUUGUUGACGUGGCGUUUGUAGACGUGGCGUUUGUUGACGUGGCGUUUGUUGACGUGGCGUUUGUAGACGUGGCGUUUGUUGAAGUGGCGUUUGUUGACGUGGCGUUUGUUGAAGUGGCGUUUGUAGACGUGGCGUUUGUUGACGUGGCGUUUGUUGACGUGGCGUUUGUUGAAGUGGCGUUUGUUGACGUGGCGUUUGUUGAAGUGGCGUUUGUAGACGUGGCGUUUGUUGACGUGGCGUUUGUUGACGUGGCGUUUGUUGAAGUGGCGUUGUAGACGUGGCGUUUGUUGAAG
ensembl:lncRNA